UACGAAGGGGGCUAGCGUUGCUCGGAAUCACUGGGCGUAAAGGGUGCGUAGGCGGGUCUUUAAGUCAGGGGUGAAAUCCCGUGGAGCCUCAACUCCAGUAACUGCCUUUGAUACUGAAGAUCUUUGGAGUUCGGGAGAGGUGAGUGGAACUGCGAGUGUAGAAGAUGAAAUUCGUAGAUAUUCGACAAAGAACCACCAGG
rnacentral:rRNA from 1 species